UACGUAGGGGGCAAGCGUUGUCCGGAUUUAUUGGGCGUAAAGAGCGUGUAGGCGGUUAGGUAGGUCCGUUGUGAAAACUCGAGGCUCAACCUCGAGACGCCGAUGGAAACCCCCUAACUAGAGUCCGGAAGAGGAGAGUGGAAUUCCUGGUGUAGCGGUGAAAUGCGCAGAUAUCAGGAAGAACACCCGUGGCUAAGGCGGCUCCCUAGUACGGUACUGACGCUGAGACGCGAAAGCGUGGGGAGCGAACAGG
rnacentral:rRNA from 1 species